GGGGGUGCCCCGGUUUCGACUGGUAUGGUUCGGGGUACAGGUUGCAGGUGGACAGGAUGUAAGUCCGCGCCGGACGCCUUAAUCCGGCAAAAAAUUUAACUGCCGACAACGACAGUCUCGCUUUCGCCGCGUAAGCAGCGGAGCGCGGAAACCAGCCCCGCCGCCUUGAGGGGUUGAAUUUCCGAUGCAAUCAAGGCUGGUCGCAGGAAACUUUGUUUCCGUCUCUGUUUUCUGGACGGAGGACGACAAGAUAAUCCCGGAAUACGGAUAGGCCGCAUGCUGUGCAGCCAAGCCUGUCCCGACAAUUCAAUGCGCAGCUAAACCUGUAGACGCCUUUGCUCUGCAUACCAGGACGCGGGUUCGACUCCCGCCACCUCCAAUA
rnacentral:tmRNA from 1 species